rnacentral:rRNA from 1 species
UACAGAGGGUGCGAGCGUUAAUCGGAAUUACUGGGCGUAAAGCGCACGUAGGUGGCGACGUAAGUCGGGUGUGAAAGCCCCGGGCUCAACCUGGGAAUUGCAUUCGAGACUGCAUUGCUGGAGUACGGAAGAGGAAGGCGGAAUUCCUGGUGUAGCGGUGAAAUGCGCAGAUAUCAGGAGGAACACCGAUGGCGAAGGCAGGUCUCUGGGCAUUAACUGACGCUGAGGAGCGAAAGCAUGGGGAGCGAACAGG